rnacentral:misc_RNA from 1 species
GAUGAAGAACGUAGCGAAAUGCGAUAAGUAAUGUGAAUUGCAGAAUUCAGUGAAUCAUCGAAUCUUUGAACGCACAUUGCGCCCCUUGGUAUUCCGGGGGGCAUGCCUGUUCGAGCGUCAUUUCAACCCUCAAGCUCUGCUUGGUAUUGGGCACCGUCCUUUGCGGGCGCGCCUCAAAGACCUCGGCGGUGGCGUCUUGCCUCAAGCGUAGUAGAAUACACCUCGCUUCGGAGCGUAAGGCGUCGCCCGCCGGACGAACCUUCUGAACUUUUCUCAAGGUUGACCUCGGAUCAGGUAUGGAUACCCGCUGAACUUAAGCAUAUCAAUAAGCGGAGGA